AAUCUGUAACUACCUCUAUAACAGGCGUAACCAAUUAGUUUCGCUCGGGGUCUGUUUUAAGAAAUGAAUUGAUCAUCGCGGUCCGCACAAUAUUUUAGAGAAAAAAAUUGAUUAAAAAUGUUGUAGAAACCACAAUUAUUAACACCAUCGUCAGACAUCGUAGGGGCAGAUAAUAGGGUGAUCGAGGUAAAAUAAAUAUCGCGUAAACCAUUCACAUCUGCAGUCUUAGAACAAUUUAGAAAUCUUCUCUUUACGUUAAGAAACGAAAACGAAUGACGGUUCUUAAGACGGAGGCACCGUUCUUCAAGAAGGCUGGUUGGCUACCAUAGCUGUCUGUAGAAGUGACAUUAGAGAUAUUCACCAGUAAGCCGAGAUCGAAACUUAUUCUUAAUGAAGUUCAUUCAGUUCCGACGGUCCGCACAAAGUAGGUAUGUCGGCGUUCCGGAUGCGGACCGCGGUCCGUCAUUUGGCGACCCCUGCUCUAUAACAAUGAAGACUAUAUAAAAACAAACUUAAAUAAAUUCGAAUUGUAGCUUUCAAUAAA